GACGAACGCUGGCGGCGUGCUUAACACAUGCAAGUCGAGCGGUAAGGCCCUUUCGGGGGUACACGAGCGGCGAACGGGUGAGUAACACGUGGGUGACCUGCCCUCAGCUCUGGGAUAAGCCUGGGAAACCGGGUCUAAUACUGGAUAUGACUCCAUGACGCAUGUUGUGGGGUGGAAAGCCUUGUGCGGCUGAGGAUGGGCCCGCGGCCUAUCAGCUUGUUGGUGGGGUAACGGCCCACCAAGGCGACGAUCGGUAGCCGGCCUGAGAGGGCGGACGGCCACACUGGGACUGCGACACGGCCCAGACUCCUACGGGAGGCAGCAGUGGGGAAUUUUUCGCAAUGGGCGCAAGCCU
rnacentral:rRNA from 1 species